AUUGAACGCUGGCGGAAUGCUUUACACAUGCAAGUCGAACGGCAGCACGGACUUCGGUCUGGUGGCGAGUGGCGAACGGGUGAGUAAUGUAUCGGAACGUGCCCAGUCGUGGGGGAUAACGUAGUGAAAAUUACGCUAAUACCGCAUACGGUCUAUGGCUGAAAGCGGGGGAUCGCAAGACCUCGCGCGAUUGGAGCGGCCGAUAUCGGAUUAGGUAGUUGGUGGGGUAAAGGCCCACCAAGCCAACGAUCUGUAGCUGGUCUGAGAGGACGACCAGCCACACUGGAACUGAGACACGGUCCAGACUCCUACGGGAGGCAGCAGUGGGGAAUUUUGGACAAUGGGCGAAAGCCUGAUCCAGCCAUUCCGCGUGCAGGAUGAAGGCCCUCGGGUUGUAAACUGCUUUUGUACAGAACGAAAAGGUUUCUACUAAUACUAGGAGCUCAUGACGGUACUGUAAGAAUAAGCACCGGCUAACUACGUGCCAGCCGCCGCCGUAA
rnacentral:rRNA from 1 species